rnacentral:rRNA from 1 species
GACGAACGCUGGCGGCGUGCUUAACACAUGCAAGUCGAACGGAAAGACCCUGCUUUUGUGGGGUGCUCGAGUGGCGAACGGGUGAGUAACACGUGAGUAACCUGCACUUGACUUUGGGAUAACUUCAGGAAAAUGGGGCUAAUACCGGAUAGGAGCUCCUGCUGCAUGGUGGGGGUUGGAAAGUUUCGGCGGUUGGGGAUGGACUCGCGGCUUAUCAGCUUGUUGGUGGGGUAGUGGCUUACCAAGGCUUUGACGGGUAGCCGGCCUGAGAGGGUGACCGGCCACAUUGGGACUGAGAUACGGCCCAGACUCCUACGGGAGGCAGCAGUGGGGAAUAUUGCACAAUGGGCGGAAGCCUGAUGCAGCAACGCCGCGUGCGGGAUGACGGCCUUCGGGUUGUAAACCGCUUUCGCCUGUGACAAAGCGUGAGUGACGGUAAUGAGUAAAGAAGCACCGGCUAACUACGUG